UGGGCGUAAAGGGCACGCAGGCGGUUAUUUAAGUGAGGUGUGAAAGCCCCGGGCUUAACCUGGGAAUUGCAUUUCAGACUGGGUAACUAGAGUACUUUAGGGAGGGGUAGAAUUCCACGUGUAGCGGUGAAAUGCGUAGAGAUGUGGAGGAAUACCGAAGGCGAAGGCAGCCCCUUGGGAAUGUACUGACGCUCAUGUGCGAAAGCGUGGGGAGCAAACAGGAUUAGAUACCCUGGUAGUCCACGCUGUAAACGCUGUCGAUUUGGGGAUUGGGCUUAGAGCUUGGUGCCCGUAGCUAACGUGAUAAAUCGACCGCCUGGGGAGUACGGCCGCAAGGUUAAAACUCAAAUGAAUUGACGGGGGCCCGCACAAGCGGUGGAGCAUGUGGUUUAAUUCGAUGCAACGCGAAGAACCUUACCUACUCUUGACAUCCAGAGAACUUUCCAGAGAUGGAUUGGUGCCUUCGGGAACUCUGAGACAGGUGCUGCAUGGCUGUCGUCAGCUCGUGUCGUGAG
rnacentral:rRNA from 1 species